rnacentral:rRNA from 1 species
CUGGCUCAGGACGAACGCUGGCGGCGUGCCUAAUACAUGCAAGUCGAGCGAACAGAGAAGGAGCUUGCUCCUUCGACGUUAGCGGCGGACGGGUGAGUAACACGUGGGCAACCUACCUUAUAGUUUGGGAUAACUCCGGGAAACCGGGGCUAAUACCGAAUAAUCUGUUUCACCUCAUGGUGAAACACUGAAAGACGGUUUCGGCUGUCG